rnacentral:rRNA from 1 species
UACGGAGGGUGCAAGCGUUGUUCGGAAUCAUUGGGCGUAAAGCGCGUGUAGGUGGCGUGCUAAGUCAGAUGUGAAAGCCUGGGGCUUAACUCCAGAAGUGCAUCUGAAACUAGUAUGCUAGAGUACAGUAGGGGGUGGUGGAAUUCCUAGUGUAGAGGUGAAAUUCGUAGAUAUUAGGAGGAACACCGGAGGCGAAGGCGGCCACCUGGACUUGUACUGACGCUAAGACGCGAAAGCGUGGGGAU